AGACACUGCCUGCCAGCUGUACAGCCUCUGCGGCCUGUAUCCUCCAUACCAGCGGAGCUCCGUCCAGUCUGACAGUCUCCGAUCUGCAGGGCGGCCAUCAGAGGCCUCUUGAAUUGCUGCGGAGAUGGAUUUCCCUUUGAUUUGGAUAUAUUGAUCUGUCAUCUCGAUAUGGAUUUGUCACCUCGGUUCUUUUUAUAAGAUGUGUUUCACCAAUCUAUUUAUCACUUAUAUGAGAAUAUUGAUUUCAUAUCCUUUAGAUCUGAUGAAGGUCAAUGCCUGACCGAAACAUUAUC